CUUGCUAAGUUUGACGGCGACCGGCGCACGGGUGAGUAACACGUAUCCAACCUGCCGAUGACUCGGGGAUAGCCUUUCGAAAGAAAGAUUAAUACCCGAUGGCAUAGUUCUUCCGCAUGGUAGAACUAUUAAAGAAUUUCGGUCAUCGAUGGGGAUGCGUUCCAUUAGGUUGUUGGCGGGGUAACGGCCCACCAAGCCUUCGAUGGAUAGGGGUUCUGAGAGGAAGGUCCCCCACAUUGGAACUGAGACACGGUCCAAACUCCUACGGGAGGCAGCAUG
rnacentral:rRNA from 1 species